ensembl:lncRNA
UGUGAAUCAGAUUUCAGUUAGACAAAGUCAUUUUUCAUACUAUGACAACCACCAGCCUAAUGUAAGAUUUCCCUUUCCUCUUAAAGGCAGGACUAAUAUUUUACUUAAGGAAAGGAGGGCCCUCCAGGAUUUUAUACUCUGUCAGUAUACAAAAUAGGUUUUGGAUCACAAAGCAAAGUGUGAUUUCAUAAAGUUAUUGUUUUGAUGCGGCUCAAAAUCAUGUUUUCUCCUAGGUAUCUCUGAGAGUUGAGCACAGGCAGGAAUUCAGCAGGUUUAGCACUAAGCCUUCUAUACGUAUAAGCUGUUGAUUGAUGCUCUACCUUCUAAUUACGUGGUUCUACAUCAAGGUAAUCCAACAGUUUAUAGUGGAUCAUUCCUGACCCUUCCUGAUUUGACUAUAUUUCAUAAUGAGAACCAUGUAAGCCAAACACAUAAUGCGUGAUCCAGAAAUGGCUGACUUGGGGAAAUAACUACACUGAUGAUGAACAUCUGUUUUUGAUAUAAAAAUAUUGGGGCAUUUUUGGAAGGAAAAGCUUAUCUUUUGGCUUUUGAUACUCUGCACAAUUUCCGUUCCAUUCAUCAGACCAAUAAAUCUCUGCUAAUUUGCUCCGAAAUAAUGAAGCCGUAAUAAUGAGAAGCUUGACUACAGCAUAUGCUCUAUCAUUGAAAGGCAAGAAGAGUCCACAAAUGCUGUUUUUUUUUCAAAUAAUGAGGAGCCCUAUUCAGGCAGUCCCUGUAAGAAUGCUUAAGUUCCCAGCACCAGUGGAUAACACAGACCUGUCUCCUUUUCCUGGAAAGCAAGAGAUCAGACUGGGAUGCAGACAUAAAACUCCUCUACACCAGUGCUCUCCAGAAAGCAAUUUGGUUUUCUUUUAUUGCUCUACACAUUCCACAAGAACGUUGAGUUUGAACAGGCUUUUUGCUGUGUCUGCGCGUUGAUUUUGUAUUUAUUUUAAUAGUGUGCCUGGUGAUUUUUGCCUGAAUCUAACUAAUGCAUUUGUAAGGUGCUAGCUAGUGUAAUAAAUAAAUAGAUGGCAACCAGCAGAGUGUUGCUGUAAGAGAAGAGAUGAGGCUUGCUGUUUCUGCAAGCAGCUCUCAUUUGUUACUUCAGAGCAAAAAUUGAGCAUAGGAAUUAACAUAAAAGAUCAGUUCAGCCUUUGUGAUACCCUUGUAUUCUGCCUCCUUAAGCUCCUGUGACCCUGGGCACUUCAUACACAAUCCAAAGUGUCUGUGUUGGUGAUCAUGUGAUGUGAGUUUGGGUGUUUUUUGUUGUUUUACUUUGGUUUUGGUUUGUUCUCUUAACCUCAGCGACCAGGUUGACCAAUUACCUGGAAGGAAAAAGAUGUUUUGUGGCCCAUCAAUCUUCUGGAGAUUGUAGUAUUUUUUCCAGCAUACUUUUGGACGUUCUUGAGAACCACAAAAGGGAGAUCUGCUUUUAAUACCCUUGCUGGGGAGAGGAGUGGUAUUUUUUGCUUCUAAAAGCCUUUAUGCCGCUGGUUGUAAUUUGAAGCUUAAAAACAGCAGGCUUAGAAAUAUUUCAAAGCUCUCUAGAGGGCAGAGCCUGCUACUGGAGGCUUAUGGACAGAUUUUUGCUACCAGGUAUGAUAUCAAUCAAGAAUUCCAUUGAUUGCAGUGCUAUUACUCUGGCAUAACCAGGAGCAGAAUGUGACCCUCAGUUUAAUUUCUGAUACGGCUCCUGGAUUUAUUGGAGCUGUGCAUCUCUGCAGGACCUUUCCUGCCUUUGCUGCAGCGGCAGCUUGAUGUAAAUCAGAUUUCCUUGCAGCUGAAAAGAGUACUGAUUAUAUAUGAAGCUCUAACAACAUUUGCUGGAGUUCUAUGUUCCUGGGACCGGCUUAGGCAUUCAACCAGCUUAUCCUUCUGCCUGUGACCCGAAGUAAGAGAAAAGUGUUUUACAGUAGUAAUAAAGAGAUUACGUUAGAUGAAGUUAUUUUCAGUAGCUAUAUCAGGAAGAUUGAGAGUCAAUUAUUCUGGUCAGGUUCAUCUUUAGGACACAAGCAAAGAAGAGGGCUGAGACAUUUAUACUGUACUAGCAAAAAAAGAUUUAAAGAUACUGUGUUUGCACUGACUACUUGGGCCUUAGCACAGGGAAUAACUCUGGAAUAACUCUUGGGGAUGUCAGUGCUCAUAUUUUGGGAGCUGGAGAAUAUUGCUUCCAUCUCUUUUUGGGUGCUUCCUGACUUAUUUGUCUCUUACUCAGCAGAAAAAAAAAAAAGCAGGCUCUGUGGCCUUUGUCACGUGUCACAGUGAAUAUUUGGUAGGGAGAACAGCACUGAGGCUCCUGAUGGUAUUCCUGGGAUGUUUUGUAAACUUCUCUUCUGUUAUAAAAUCUGCUUUCAGAAAACUUUUCAGUGUUCUCUACUGAUCCCACAGAAAUACUGAUGUAUCUCUUAUCUCUCUUUUUUUUUUUUUCUGCAAAGGGAAAUGUUGCUUGAAGAGAUGCUAUAUGCAAUGGCAUGUCAUUCUGCUACCUAUUUUUAAAUAUUCACAUAGACCACAUGUAUUGGAAGGAAAGAUGUCUAUUCUGAGACAGCUGAAUGAGCAAAUUCCUUUUUAAAAGAAACUGAUGAUCACCUGCAGAUGGGGCUGUGCCAUUGGAAGCCAUUGUAAAUCAGAAGCUGUUUCGCUGAACUUCUUACUGGAGCUGUGCAGCACCAUUGCAGAUGAGGAGAUAAUUGUGCCUAAUACACAGUCUUGUUGGCUACCAGCAGCAAACUCAUAUUUCGAGAGUGUGGAGCCUUGCCUGGGGAUUUUUCUUCCCUAUCUUCACCACUGAGUCAUUUAGCUGGCUUUUGGGAUGGAGCUGUUCCUCUGCUCAAGACAAAUUAAAUUGAGGCUCAAUUUUAUCACAGAAUCAUAGGCACUGGAAGGGACCUCUGAACAUCAUCUGCUAAAGGUCAGAUCUUUAAUCUUGAGUCAGAAUCUGAGCCAUAAAAUCUGAAGGAAACAAGGAGUUACAUCUUAACGGUAGUCAUCAGAAUCAUCAAGUUAAAGGUGUCAGUGGAAGUGAUCUAUCACAGUGAUGAAAGGUGCUUAAAAAGGCUUGACAGAAGUUCCCCAAAAAUAGUGAAGUUCACUUUCCUGAGAGCAUAACAUCACUAAAUUUGCCUUCAACAGGUGCUACACUGAGGUGUCAUUUUGUACAAUAUGACGAGUAACUGAUACAAGUCGCUUGGGAUUUGGCGCUUAUGUGGUACCAUAACAUGUCAAUGCUAUAAGAUGUCUAAAGCCUUGUGAGCUUCAGGAGUGUUCAGGAUUUCAGGAUGACAAAUGGAAUGUCAGAUAUGACUUACUCUGAGACCUUAAAGGAUUCAUGUGGUAUAGCUCUUAACUGUACCUCAAGGUUCUGUAGGAUGUUACCUCUGAAGCUGGCCAAUUUUGAUGACCAAACAAACAUCUGAUUGCCUUUACAACUGGAGAAGUAGCUGAAGUCUAAAUUGAAGUAGUUCUUAAACUACUGUUGAUCAUUCAGUGAGGAAAGGCUAAUAAAUGUGUACAUAAAUAUGUAUAAGAGUUGAUCCCAGUAGUGGAAAUCAUGGUAAUAAUUAUGUAAUAAUAAGCUAGUAAUAAAGAUUAUGGCAAAGGAGUCUCAGCAACUUGAAACAAUACAAGCCAAUGCUUUGCUUCUCCUCACUUUGGCUCAUAUCUUAACAGGAACACGUCCCCAAACGUGUAGAGCUAAUGAAGACAAAAAAAGCUCAAUACUUGUAUAUAACAGUUUGAAAUGCAUGCAUUUAUAAGAGUAAAUGUAUAUUAAAGCAUGGAAAAGUCUCCCCAUCUUUUUCAUGAUUAAGUUUCAUUUGGAUUCAAUGUUCAUACCAUAAAAGUGAUAUUAAACUUGAGGAGAAGGUAUGGGUAUGGCCAUGAUGUUGUCACCUUUAUCUUUAAGUGUACUGAAAUAUCCUAAACCUGACAAAGCACAAAGUCUGGAGAAUUAUCUUAUGGUGAAAGAUGAAACAAAAUAACAUGUCCUCUGUCCUUCACUGUCAACAUGAUGACUUAUAAGCAUUCUUUUUCUCUGCAUUUUCCUCCUAUUAAAAUCAUCCUGUCUGAGCAAAACGGCCUGCGACAGAUGACAAAUAUGGGAUAUUUCAUGGACAAAAAUCACACUCUAAAUUGGAUAUGCUGUGAGAGUAUUGCAACCUGAUAUGCUGAAGCUUAACAGAAAUGCAAAAGACAUUCUUCACUCUGUCAGAUACUGUCUGCCACAUGACUUUCCAUGUAGUUUACUCCAUUAGGCGUAGGAUGAUUUUUCCUUGUUUUGACUCUUCUGGUUGAAAGGUUGGUUACUGUGACUUUAUGUGGAAGAUAACAGCUGCAGAAACUGACCAGUUAAAUAUAUGAUAGCAAAACAGAGGAUACUGUCAUAAACAUAAUACAAUAAGCACGAUAUAAUCUUCAUAGCUUUGCUGUUUCACUUGUUGAGAUUCUGGAGUUCUUCAGUGCAGAAAUUAGCUUCUUGCUUCUACAAAACCCAGGCUGCAAAAUCAUCUUUAUUUAGAAAUUCCAUCCUAUUGUGAAAUACGUUUAUUUAGCAAUGAGAAGGGAAAGUGAAGAGAAAAGGAAGGACCACAUUAAGACUUCAGAGGUAUAAAAAAUAAUCUGUGAGGAGGGAAGUAGUAAUCUAGUUUUUGUACUCCUGGUAGAUAGGACAGGAAGUGCUGAGCUUUAUGAUUUAUCAAAAAAGAUUGGUUUACACACUAGACCUAUCUGUGUGUGUGUGUGUGAGAGAGAGAGAGAGAGAGAGUGUUUAAUGGUAAGGUUUGUGAAGAAAGUGUUCCUGUGUCAGGAUUGUGGAGGAUGGAGUCAAUAAUUUCUUAAGGGCCCUUCCUGCUGUAUUGUUCUAUGAUCUUGUGCCAUGCAUUUUUCUUCAUGUGAAGUAACAUUUUGUUCGUUCGAUGAAUAGAUAGAAAUUCCUUCCCUGUGAAUCCAUUUCUAGUGUUUUUUAGUACGUUAAUUUGAUAGCCAUCUGCCAUUUUUUUUUUAAAUGAGCACUUUGACAAAUCUAUUAUCUCACCUCCUAAAGCAUUAAUUGGAAUCCCUUAGUUCUGAAGCCCUUUCUACGUAGUUGAAGAGUUAUUUAUGGUACCUUUUAGUUGUGAAUAAAUUCCAGGCAUCCAGAGGUGGGGCAUAUUUCUUUGCUAGUGAGUUCUUAUUUUCAUGUGAUAAAGGUCUCCAGUUCUCGAGUUCAUUUUCUCUGAAUGUGACUUUUUUUUUUGUCCAAGACUAUAUCUGAUGACCAGUGCUGUAUGGAUCGCAGCUCCGUUGGUCAGUAGUUUGUGUAAAUUUUCUUUCUUUUGUAUAUGAGGAAAAGGUUUUAUGUGUUAGAGGAAAUAAAUCCUGUUAUGUUGACAUGGUCUCUAUCCUCCAGUGAUUAUCUGCGCUUCAGAGGUUUGAGUAGGCUGUAAAGACUGCCUAACUGCCUUGCUCAAGGUCUUCUCAGAGGAAGGAAACUUCAGGCUUUAGAGUCCAUCCAGCUAUUCCAUGUCACUUGGUCUCAGGACUACUUGGAGCAUUGGUAGUGGGAAGUGCGAAAACAUAAGAAUAAUUUAGAGCAACUUCAAAUGUCUGAAUAGUGGAGAGGGUGCAUAAACCAUAACUUUUCUCCCUCUUGGGACUGACUUCAGCUCAGCUAAACCCAAAGUUUUGGGCUUCCGUGUUUAGGUGCAUUCUGUGUUUACUGUGUUUGAUUGCCAAAGCCCUGAUGAUUAGCAGUGACUGGGAUGUAAAAUCUAAUCCAUGAGGGAUUUCUGAAAACUGAGAUAAUGCACAUUAAGAUGACUGACUAUGGCCUGAUUAGUAACAAUACAGGGAAUACAGGGUCAGAUUGUUUUUCUUGUUGUUUUUUUUUUUCCCCCUGUUUUUUUUUUUGUUUGUUUGUUUGUUUUGUUUUUUGGUAGUAUGACUAGUAACCUAAGUGCAGGAUCUCAAACACACAAGCACAUUGCAAAAUUCUCCCUUUUAGCUUACUCGAUCAAUUUACAGAAUACAACGCAUGACUGCCUAAGCAUCUUUCUGCAAUACAGAUAGUUUAUGGCCAGUUUCAAUUUAAGAGACAUAUACUGAAUGUGUCAUGCAAACAGUAGUGCAAUUUUGUUAGGAUUUCUGAAAUAAGAGUUUAAAAUAUUCCUAUAUCAUAUGUGUGGUGUUCAGAAUCUACUAAUUGUGUUUUUGUACUUCAGGAUGGCAUAUUAAGAAAUACUAAUUUUUGGCCUGGAAGAUGUUGAGUACAUAGUCACUGACAAUUGUUAACUAUUGAAAGAGGGGCUUGUUUGAAUAGUGCCGCAAUUCUACAAUAAAACAGAAUUUUAGUUAAAAGCCUAUUUUGGAAUAAAUAAAUAGUGCUAAUAUACACAAGAUAAAAGAAGGCAACACAGCAGUCAAAGCAAUCAAAGACAUUAGGAAGUUCAGUAAACUGGAAUGAGAUUCUUUGCUUACUAGGAAAAAAUCAUGAUAUGUCAAUAGGGUUUUACAGGCUAGUAUCUACAAAAAUUUUAAAGAGUAUUAGAAAUAAAAUUAGGAAAAUGAUACAGAACAGUUGUUUUGGGUGGAAAUUUUGCUGUUAGCCAAGGCAAACCCACCACACCUGUUAGUAAGUGGAAGGGAAGAUGUCAAUAACUGAUGCAGGCAUGGCAGAGGUAUUUCAUUAAAAUCUUCUGUGUAGAGAAAGAAAAGAAAUAAUAUGCAUAAUACUUCUUGAAGAUGUGGGGGUACUUUUCAAUCCAAUGGUAAUUUUGAGGAGGUUGUUGAAUGAUGUCUCUUAGAGAUUAACACCCAGACUUGCUGACUUAAGAUGACUUUUAUCAAUGAUAGAAAAGAGUUGCAUGAAAUUGUAUUUUUUUAUUCUCCAUACUUCGUGGAUUUGGGAAGUCUUACAAUUACUGUUUCAAGACAAACUUGGUGGUAUGGACUGUAAAAAUCCUGUUAGCAUAAUGUCUACCUCAGACUCUAUAUUAGGCAAAUGAUGUAGAUUUAAUUUAUAAGGAAUUGAUACAUUUACAUAAAAGUAAAUGCUAGUAGAUAUGAAUUUUGAAGAAUGUCAAAAUAGGUGUUACUGAUUAAGCACUUCAAUAUCUGUGAAGAUAUAAUAGACCUUGUAAUAUUGUGGUUGCCUGAAGAUGUAGCACUCAUUGGAUUUGUCACUGUACCUUUAG